ACUCCUGGCAGAAGGUGUGCAAGCACGCCAGCAGCUUGGGCGCGCGCCGGUCCGCGUCGAAGUAGUUGUAGCAGAUUUUGCACUCGUAGUCCUCAAGCGGAGGGAGGCCGGAGACCGUCUCCGCUGCGUCCCGGGCUCCUGCGUCUCCGCAGUCCGGGGCUCCCUUCGCGGCGACCCCAGCUCCCUCCCGGCUCCCGGGGCUGCUGCUUGGGCUCUGCUGGCUGCCGCCGCUGUCGCUCGCCGGCGCUGCCAUGGCAUGAUCCGCCCCUCAUCGGGGGCAAGUUUCUCUGCAGAAGACAGCAAGAUGCCCCAGGGAAUGUUUGUGAAAAAGGAUGACUGGAUGGGAAGCAAGCUGAAGAAAAAGAAGGAAAGAAAGAGAGAAAUCAGUAAAUCACCACACAAGAGGUGGAGAAGAGGACUUAUAAAUAUUGUUUCUAUGAC
rnacentral:lncRNA from 1 species